ACUCCAUCCCCCGCGGGUCUGCUCUGUGUGCCAUGGACGGCAUUGUCCCAGAUAUAGCAGUUGGUGCAAAGCAGGGAUCUGAUGAGCUUUUCUCUACUUGUGUCACCAACAGACCAUUUAUCAUGAGCAGCAACUCAGCGUCUGCAGCAAAUGGAAAUGACAGCAAGAAGUUCAAAGGCAACAGCAGAAAUACCGGCAUCCCCUCUAGAGUAAUCCACAUUCAGAAGCUCCCCAUCGAUGUCAUCAAAGGGGAGAUUAUUUCCCUGGUGCUGCCCUUUGGAAAGGUCACCAAUCUCCUGAUGUUGAAGGGGAAAAACCAGGCCUUCGCCGAGAAGAACACGGAGGAGGCUGCCAACACCAUGGUGAGCUACUACACCUCCAUGACACCAGUGCUGCACGGCCAGCCCAUCUACAUCCAGAUCUCCAACCACAAGUAGCUGAUGGCUGACAGUUUGCCCAACCAGGCACGUGCCCAGGCUGGCCUUGGCUGCCUCAGCGGUGGCCGUGGAUGCAGGAAUGAUGAUGGCUGGGCAGAGCCCCAUGCUGAGGAUCAUCAUGGAGAACCUCUUCUACCCAGUGACCCUGGACAUGCUGCACGAGAUUUUCUUCAAGUUCAGCAUGGUGUUGAAGAUCAUCACCUUCACCAAGAACAAUCAGUUCCAGUCCCUGCUGCAGUAUGUGGACCCUGUGAGUGCCCAGCUCGCCAAGCUGUCUCUGGAUGGGCAGCACAUCUGCAACGCCUGCUGCACACUGCACAUUGACUUCUCCAAGCUCACCAGCCUCAAUGUCAAGUACAGCAAAGACAAAAGCCGUGACUACAUGCACCCAGACCUGCCCUCCGGGGACAGCCAGCCCUUGCUGGACCAGAACACGACUGCAGCCUUCGGUUCACCUGGUAUAAUCUCAGCCUCUCCAUAUGCAGGAGCUGGUUUCCCUCCCACCUUUGCCAUUCCUCAAGCUGCAGGCCUCUGUUCCCAACAUCCACGGAGUGCUGGCCCCUCUGGCCAUCCCCUCAGUGGCAGCGGCAGUUACAGCAGCAGGCCAGAUCGCCAUUCUGGGCCUGGCUGGGGCAGGAAACUCUGUGUUGCUGGUCAGCAACCUCAACCCAGAGAGAGCCACACCCCAAAGCCUCUUUAUUCUUUUCGGUGUCUAUGGCGACAUGUAGCACAUAAAGAUCCUGUUCAAUAAGGAGAAUGCCUUGGUGCAGAUGGUGGACAGCAACCAGGCCCAGCUGGCCAUGAGCCACCUGAGCGGGCACAAGCUGCACGGGAAGCCCAUCUGCAUCAUACUCUCGAAGCACCAGAAUGUGCAGCUUUCCCGUGAGGGCCAGGAGUACCAGGGCCUGACCAAGGAAAAUGGCAACUCGCCCCUGCACUGCUUCAAGAAGCCAGGUUCCAAGAACUUCCAGAACAUAUUCCUGCCCUCGGCCAGCCUGCACCUCUCCAACAUCCUGCCCUCAGUGUCCAAGGAAGAUCUCAAGGUCCUCUUCUCUAGCAAUGGGGGCAUCAUCAAAGGAUUCAAGUUCUUCCAGAAGGACCGCAAGAUGGCGCUGAUCCAGAUGGUGUGGUGGAGGAGGUGGUCCAGGCCCUCAUUGACCUGCACAACCACGACCUUGGGGAGAGCCAUCACCUGUGGGUCUCCUUCUCCAAGUCCACCAUCUAG